rnacentral:rRNA from 1 species
CCUACGGGCGGCAGCAGUGGGGAAUAUUGGACAAUGGGCGAAAGCCUGAUCCAGCCAUGCCGCGUGUGUGAAGAAGGCCUUCGGGUUGUAAAGCACUUUUAGUGGGGAAGAAAGCCUUGGGGCUAAUACCCUCGAGGAAGGACAUCACCCACAGAAGAAGCACCGGCUAACUCCGUGCCAGCAGCCGCGGUAAUACGGAGGGUGCGAGCGUUAAUCGGAAUUACUGGGCGUAAAGCGCGCGUAGGCGGUCUGAUAAGCCGGUUGUGAAAGCCCCGGGCUCAACCUGGGAACGGCAUCCGGAACUGUCAGGCUAGAGUGCAGGAGAGGAAGGUAGAAUUCCCGGUGUAGCGGUGAAAUGCGUAGAGAUCGGGAGGAAUACCAGUGGCGAAGGCGGCCUUCUGGACUGACACUGACGCUGAGGUGCGAAAGCGUGGGUAGCAAACAGGAUUAGAUACCCGAGUAGUC